rnacentral:rRNA from 1 species
UCGAGGAUCUUUGGCAAUGGGCGCAAGCCUGACCAAGCGACGCCGCGUGCGCGAUGAAGGCCUUCGGGUUGUAAAGCGCUGUCGAGGGAGAGAAAGCCGAAAGGUUGAUCGACCCCUGGAGGAAGGACGGGCUAAGUUCGUGCCAGCAGCCGCGGUAAGACGAACCGUCCUAACGUUAUUCGGAUUCACUGGGCUUAAAGGGCGCGUAGGCUGUUUACCAAGUCCGGGGUGAAAUCUUUCGGCUUAACCGGAAAAGUGCCUUGGAUACUGGUGAACUCGAGGGAGGUAGGGGCAUGUGGAACUUCCGGUGGAGCGGUGAAAUGCGUUGAUAUCGGAAGGAACGCCGGUGGCGAAAGCGACGUGCUGGCCCUCUUCUGACGCUGAGGCGCGAAAGCUAGGGGAGCAAACGGGAUUAGAUACCCCCGUAGUCC